rnacentral:lncRNA from 1 species
CGGGCGGUGCCGCAGGUGCACCUGGCCCGGGCGGGGGCUGCCGCAGCCCCGCCCCGCCGACCCCCGGCCGCGGCUCGUAGUAAAUAACAAGUUGAGUAAAGCUCCGGCAGCUUUUUAUAUGCCGGGGGAGGCCCUGCCUUCCCCACCAGGUAAGGACGGAAAAGUUUCCCACACCCUGACGUCACCCACGACUUCUUUUUUUUAACUUUUUUUUUCGUAUAAGUUUUUUUUUUUUUUUUUUUUUCCCCUCUCCCUUUCUUGCUCUGCUCUUUUGAAUAGGCAAACCGUACUCCUGCCAUUGCUCAGGAGCACUCCCCGCGCCCCGCGGCUGUGCUGGGAAGCCGGCAGUGCUCCCGAGGAGCCCUUGAUGAAGCAACUCCUGCCUAAUUGCUCUGCCGCCUGUACCUCCGGGUGCAGCUUGGCCCUGCCGGUGAAACAAACGAGAGGCUGGGAAAGAAACCUGAAGUCGUGAGUCUGGUGGAGCACUGCGUGUUUCCAAACGCUCUGCUCUGAGUUCAUCCCACCAGUAAGGCUGUGCAGCGUGAGAACUGCUGUUGCAAAACUACCAGAUUCAACCUCCUGGGGAGCCUUUCUGGCCAAGGUUUUACAAGCCAGCACCUGCUUUGCCUGCCUGACUUCUUUCUAUAUUUAUUCCUCUGCACCCGGUUUUUGCCUUUGCCUGUGGAACUGUCACAAACAUUUGUGCUGGCUUUUGACUGCACAGGACUUCAGCUUGCAAGUCCUAAAUCUGCCUUUGUGCAUGGUGGAGGAGCAGGCGUUUUUGUGCAUGGUUGUGCCAUCUGUGUGUCUGAGCAUCCCUGGUCCUUGCUGUCUGCAUUAUGUGGCCUGUGUCCCUGUGAUUCUGCAGCAGUCCCUCUGUUCUCUGUCCCUUCAAGACGUUUUUAUGAAUCAAAUAGUCUCAGUCAUCCUACUUAUGUAAUUUGUAAUUUUUCAUUUAACUGUGCCACCCCUGACCCAGUGGCUGCUUUAAGGCAAAGGCAAUGUGAGCAACCCUCACUCCCCUGGGUUUUGUGUCCCUGUCCCUGCCAUGUGUGCCACUGCAGGCUGCAUUCCUCUCCUGUUCUGUAAGCCCUCUGCCUCUCAUGCUGACACAGCUAAUAUUUCUCCGCUGGCAGGGCAGGCAAGGUGGUAGCAUUUAACUCUUCAGGAGAACUUUGAUCUGUUCAUCUUUGGUGGAACCACCAGAGCUGUAAGGGCUGGUAUGUGCCUGUGAUGGGGUUUUUGCUCUUCCAGAUGUUCCCCAUUGCUUUUCUGCUGAAAACUUGAAUGAGAGUUUGUAAAACCUGCACAAACCUGACACUUUUUACAUUAGUUGUGAGAGUAGCUCCUGUUUCUGACCAUGGGGUGAUCUCUGGGUGACCCUGCUGCUGGCUGGGGCACAUAGCCCCUGUGGGAGGUUCUAGUGGGCUUUUGGAAAAAUAAUUAAUCAGCUACCCAUGGAGAGCUAGUCCCAGCCUGCAAUGCACUGAGGUUGUCCUGGUGUACCACUCAGUGCCACUUGGACUGUUGUCUCUUUAAAGCUGCCUUUGUGACCACCAAUGUAAUGAAUGUAUGCUGCUGCUGCCUGGCAAGGUUGAUUUUUUUUUUUUUACAGUGGUAGUGAUGGACCAAUGAGUUAAAUAUGGAUGUAUUCUAAAAGGCAGAGAACUUUUUUACCUUUUAAAGCAAUGGUUUAAAUGUUUUCUGUCACCUGUGGGUGCUAAACUCUUGCUGCCACGGGUCCGGACCACUGUUCAGUUCUUGGAGGUAAUUGCAGAGCCUCUGUCUUUGGAGGAUUUCAGCUCCUCCUGAAGCCUGUGCCUCAGUACCAGUGAAAACCAGAUGUACUGUUAUGUCGCUUUUUUACAGUUUGUUUUGGCCAUACAUGGGCAGAGUCAGCUCUGGAAUUCCUUCCCUAUAAAUUCAAUAGCAUCUUGUGGGUGGUGCCGGGGAAUCACUCUGGUCUGGUUGGAUCGCCUUGCUUCGGCAGCCUGUUUGCCUUGAAAAUGUCCUGCUGUGCACAUUCCUGAGAGGCUGCCUGCCCCUGGAGCCAUGGCUGCAGCUUCCAGGAGGCUGCUGUCCCUUGCUGGCAGGCAGAGUCAGCUCCUGCUGCCUGCAGGUCAGCCUUGGCUGCUGAGACUGAUGCUUGUGGCAGUGCUGGCAUGGGGAUGUUGCUCUGGGGUGCAUGCAGGCUCUGCAGGAAUAGUUAUACCUGCUAAGAAAACUGCCUCUGAAACUUGAUUUGCGUGUUUGAGCAUUGACACUCAAGUCCCUUUUCCAGGGGUGGGGAGGCUGGGUGCUCCCCACUUCCCACCUGACAUGGAAUACUGUGCUGUGUGUCCCAGCAGGGAUUGAUGGGUGCUGCCAUCCUGGGGCUCCUUGUAUGUGCAGGGAUCUUGUCUUGUCCUUCAGUUUGUGCCUUUCUGCAGUGCUUCCUUGUUUUUAUGGAUUUUUUCCAUAAUGCAAGUUCAAAUACAUGCUCUUUAUAAAGCACUAGCUUGAUGAGCCAGGUCAGGGGAGGUUUCCCUAUGCCAGGUGAGCAGCCAGUGUGAGAUGUGGUGUGACUGAUGGCUGAGCCUGCCUUUUCUGGGCCAAGCUGAUGUUGCUAUAACCACAGUCUGAAUCUGCCUAUUUGCCUUCAGAGAACACUCUAAAAAGUAGUUCUAGGAGUUUUUCUACUGGUGAGUUGAGGGAUGAAAAAGAGGUUUGUUGCAAGGGUUGAGGAGCAACAACUUCUAGAGUUGCUCCCAUUGAAUCUUCCUGUGCAUCCCUAGUAGGGGACAGAGAUGCAGUAUCACCCAUCAUGCCAGGAGCCUCUGAAGCACAGUUGAAGGUGAUUUUACGUGGCCCCAUGUCCAGGCUCUGUGUAGGUCGGCAAAGGCAGAUUGCUCAGCUCAUGCUUCAGAGGGGCAAGUCAUCCCUGUGCCAAAGCCAGGGAGAGAAGGGUGAUUUCUUUUUUUUUUUUUUGACAUCCUUUGGAGUUUUGAUCUCCAUAUUUGGAAAUGUUUACCCAUUGCUCUGAUCUAUUGCAAGGGAGGGGAGGUGACUCAGGGUCUGGUGGAAGCAGGAUUUGAAUUCCUGUAGUAAGGUUUUUUUUUUUUUAUCCCCCCCCCCUUUCUUGUUUUGGAAGCUUGUUGUGGUCAGUUUUCAGUUCUCUCUUGCUCCUGGACCUUGUUCCAAAUUUGAUGUGCUCGGGAGGGAAGCACAUUAACAAAGGAGCUUGUCUGAAUGCUGGUAAGUGCAUCAUUGCUGUUACAGCAAGCAAUUUGGGAUUUUUUUUGUUGUUUUGUUUAGUCAGAUAGAUUGCAUUGAAGUGUGUGCAUUGCUGGUGGAGGCAGGCAUGUGGAUCAACAGCAAGGGACCAAAUGAAACCUAUAGCAGGGAGAGUUGGUUUACUGGAUUGGUCUCAAAGGCAAAAUGUUUCUUCAGGAGUAGGUAUAAAGAUAAUUUAAGCCAGCUCCCAUUCAGUCACGCUUUUCCUUUUAGUUUCACUUGUUUGUGCAGCAAGGUAGCAGAGCACUGUAAAGGAGGUGGUCAGCACGGAAAUUCAUGUGGUCAGCAAGGAAAAUACAGCUUCUGUAUGAUUUUUGUCACUUAAGCAAGUGUGUGUGUUAAAAGGCUGUAUAACACAUGGAUAUAUUUCUCUCAAUUGUUAAUAUUUAACUGUUCUUAGUUGAAGUUUAGCAACUGUAACUGGAUAAACUUUGAGUGUCCGUUUUUUUCUUGUUGUUCUGUAUUUUUCCUUAGUGUUAAGUUUUUAAUCUGUCUGAUAUUGUAACUGGCUGCUUCUUUUUUUUACUUUUUUUCCCGCUUUGCCCCCCCCCCCUACUCCUGCUCUUUCCUAUUUCCUGAAAGGAAGCUGCAGUUCAUCCAGACAGUCAGGGGUGUGGGGGGAACCUGGAAGAUGCUCUGCUUCCUAUUUUAUUCAUGGCAGCUAAAACCAUGCUGAGGAAUGUGGAGCAGAGAUCCACCAUC